CGGGUGAGUAACACGUGAGCAACCUGCCUUUCAGAGGGGGAUAACAGUUGGAAACGACUGCUAAUACCGCAUAACGCUGCGAUGGGGCAUCCCGAUGCAGCCAAAGGAGCAAUCCGCUGGAAGAUGGGCUCGCGGCCGAUUAGCUAGUUGGUGGGGCAACGGCCCACCAAGGCGACGAUCGGUAGCCGGACUGAGAGGUUGGACGGCCACAUUGGGACUGAGACACGGCCCAAACUCCUACGGGAGGCAGCAG
rnacentral:rRNA from 1 species